GCCGAGGUAGCUCAGUUGGUAGAGCAGCGGAUUGAAAAUCCGCGUGUCGGCAGUUCGAUUCUGUCCCUCGGCACCA
rnacentral:tRNA from 1 species